rnacentral:miRNA from 1 species
GAGAGAGAGAGAGAGAGAGAGAGAGAGAACUUGUGUAUAAUAUUAGAGGGAGAGCUUUCGUGGACCCAUCCUAGGAUAUGGAUCUCUCUCUCUCUCUCUCUCUCUCUC